rnacentral:rRNA from 1 species
CUUAUUAAGAUGAUAUAUACUUUUAAUAAAAUAUAAUUUCCUUCGGGAAAAUAAUUUAUUAUAAAUAAAUAUAUAAAUUGAUUAAAAAUAAAGUCUAUAAAUAAUUAAAAUAAUGAUAUUAAUUACAUUCUUUAAUUGAAUGAUAUAAUAUUUUAUAUUAUAUUUUAAUAGUCCUAACCAAGAUUUGUGCCAGCAGCUGCGGUAAUACAAUGAGGGCUAGCGUUAAUCAUAAUGGUUUAAAGUAUCCGUAGAAUGAUAAAAUAUUAUUAGAGUUAAUAAAUUUAAUUAAAGAAUUAUGAUAGUAAAGAUGAAAUAAUAAUGAUAAUCAUAAGACUGGUAUAUGUGAAAAUAUUAAUUAAAUAUUAACUGACAUUGAGGGAUGAAAGCUAGAGUAGCAAUAUGGAUUCGAUACCCAAGUAGUUCUAGCAGUAAACUAUGAACACCAUAAUUUAUACAUAAUAUAAAUUAUAAACGAAAGUGUAAGUGUUCCACCUGAAGAGUACUUUCGCAAGAAUGAAACUCAAGACAAUAGACGGUUACAGACUUAAGCAGUGGAGCAU